UAUGCUGAAUGCGAUCAUUUUCGGUUUGUUUUUCGUAAAGAAAAUUUGUACUCGUUUUUUUUAAUUAUCUAAGCAUAAAACUAUGAUUUCAUAUAAAGUUUUAAUAAUAUUAACUUUUAUAAUUAAUAUAAGCCACUGUGGUGAAGAGCUUGUUGAAACUGCCUAUAGAAAAUAUAUUAGAGAAGUUUAUAGAUGCAAAGAUAAUUUAAAAUUAAUUGG